rnacentral:rRNA from 1 species
GGCCCUUUCGGGGGUACUCGAGCGGCGAACGGGUGAGUAACACGUGAGUAAUCUGCCCUUGGCUUCGGGAUAGCCACCGGAAACGGUGAUUAAUACCGGAUAUGACCAGUUGCCGCAUGGUGGUUGGUGGAAAGUUUUUCGGCCAGGGAUGUGCUCGCGGCCUAUCAGCUAGAUGGUGAGGUAAUGGCUCACCAUGGCUUCGACGGGUAGCCGGCCUGAGAGGGUGACCGGUCACACUGGGACUGAGACACGGCCCAGACUCCUACGGGAGGCAGCAGUGGGGAAUAUUGGACAAUGGGCGGAAGCCUGAUCCAGCAACGCCGCGUGAGGGAUGACGGCCUUCGGGUUGUAAACCUCUUUCAGUACCGACGAAGCGCAAGUGACGGUAGGUACAGAAGAAGCACCGGCCAACUACGUGCCAGCAGCCGCGGUAAUACGUAGGGUGCGAGCGUUGUCCGGAAUUAUUGGGCGUAAAGGGCUCGUAGGCGGUUUGUCGCGUCGGGAGUGAAAACGCCGUGCUCAACACGGCGCUUGCUUUCGAUACGGGCAGACUGGAGGUAUGCAGGGGAGAACGGAAUUCCUGGUGUAGCGGUGAAAUGCGCAGAUAUCAGGAGGAACACCGGUGGCGAAGGCGGUUCUCUGGGCAUUACCUGACGCUGAGGAGCGAAAGUGUGGGGAGCGAACAGGAUUAGAUACCCUGGUAGUCCACACCGUAAACGUUGGGCGCUAGGUGUGGGAUCCAUUCCACGGGUUCCGUGCCGCAGCUAACGCAUUAAGCGCCCCGCCUGGGGAGUAC